GAAUGAAGACAUGGAUGCUAUGACAAGUUACAUUUUAUUUAGCAAAAUGAAUUACUUCUUUUGGUGCCUGAGUGCCCCUUCUCUUCAGUCCUCUCUGCUUCUCGUUGCCGCCCUUUCUUUGCUAGACCGUCACUAGCACAUUAUUUGGUAGUCGCUGCCCCCACCGGUGUGUAGUUGAUUACUUGAAGAAGGCGGUUGGGUGCCUGCAGUUCUGGCAUCGUAGAACGCUUAAAACUAAAGCGGUGAACUAGGAAGGAAGGUAGCAUGGAGAGGCCCACUUAGAAGAAUUUCCAAGUUUGAUCAGGGGCCCCGAGGUCGUUGACAAAAAUAAAGAGAUUUCUUCUCGCAACAAAUUCCUUGGCUUGCUGAAUAGAGAUGAUGUUUUCUUUAGUUGAGCGAGAUACCAAGGGUUGUCAUUGAUUAACCAAAGUCGACUUAAUUGAAACUGAUUGGUUAUCAUUGAUAAAUAUGAUGACACUGCAACGUAAAUUACAUUCAUUUUGCAAUUGCGGAACAUAUGAAGAACUACAAAUCUUUAGAAGAAGAUGAAGUGAUUUGGUUGAUCCUUUUAUCCUUGUAAUGAACAAGGAGCAUGAUGGCUACAUUUGACUUUAUGGAAGAGGUGUUACUUUAAAAAUGAUGAACAAAAUGGGAGAUGGUGAGGAACCAUACAUGAUACAUGAUUUCGGGCUUAAGCAAUAAUUCAAAGCCAGCCUUGAAGUUAAAAAGACACAGUUGCUUGAAAUUCAAGAAAACCAUCAAAAAAAAAAAAA